rnacentral:tRNA from 1 species
GGGGUUGUGGCUCAGUGGUGGAGCGCUCGCCUAGCACGGGUGAGGCCCUGGGUUAGAUCCCCAGCACCACA